GCUUGUCUCAAAGAUUAAGCCAUGCAUGUUCAAGUAUAGCAAGUGUACAGUGAAACUGCGAAUGGCUCAUUAAAUCAGUUAUCGUUUAUUUGAUGAUCUCUUACUACUUGGAUAACCGUAGUAAUUCUAGAGCUAAUACAUGCGCAAAUUCCCGACUGUCGCAAGGCGGAAAGGAUGUAUUUAUUAGAUCCAACCAGCCCGGUUCGCCGGAGUCCCUGGUGAGUCAUAAUAACUGAGCGAAUCGCAUGGCCUUGUGCCGGCGAUGGUUCAUUCAAGUUUCUGCCCUAUCAGCUUUCGAUGGUAGGGUAUUGGCCUACCAUGGCGUUAACGGGUAACGGAGAAUUAGGGUUCGAUUCCGGAGAGGGAGCCUGAGAAACGGCUACCACAUCCAAGGAAGGCAGCAGG
rnacentral:rRNA from 1 species